UUCAUCUUUUCUUCUUUCUCACAGAAUGAAGUGUCUGCUCUCGGUAUGAACGCAGCGGCUCAGGCGGCCUGUGUGAACAGAUCUGACCCUUUAACAAGGGCCACAUUGUGAUGGCUGGACGUGUCGGAGCAUCUCCAGAACUGCAGCUCCUGGUCAUUCUGUGGUGGUUAAUAUAUCUCAGCCAAUAGUGGCAAUAGUAGGUGAAGACACCAUCCUUCCCUGCCACCUGGAUCCUGCCGUAGAUCCUGCCUCCACGACUCUAGAGUGGUCCAGACCUGACCAGGGACACAGAUUUGUCCAUGUGAGGCAUGAAGGCGAGGACGCACUGACUGAUCAAAACCCGUCUUACAAAGGAAGAACGUCAGUGUCCAACAACACACUGAAGCAGGGAGACGUCUCACUGAAACUCUCCAGAGUGGAACUCUCUGAUAACGGGACAUACAGACGCUAUAUUCCAAAACUGAACAAAGAGUCUUUCAUCAGUCUUGCUGUUGGUGACAUGCCGCCUCCUGCUCAUAAGAUUGUUCUGGUGGUGGCAAUACCCAUCAUGAUCCUUAGUUUGAUAGUUGUCUGUCUGACCUGUGACAAAAGAGCAGGUGAUGCUGAAGGUUCUGGUUCUAGGAGAUGUCGAGAGUGUUGUUCUGACUGUCCUGAAUGUUGUCUUAAGACGUGUAAUUACUGUUGUGAAAUCUGUAUGGAGUUGCCUUCUAUAAUCACAUAGGAAGCUUUACUGGCAGAAAGACGAUUCUUGGUUUAUAUUAGUGUAUAAUCACCUUAAAAUAAGAAUCAUUGUGUUAUUAUGUUGAACUGCCAUGUUUCCUACACAUUUGGAAGGGAGGGUGAUGCAAGUGGUAUUCAGUGAUGCAAGCAGUAUUCAUUCACUAAAUGUGUAAUUUUACAUGCAUUUAUUAUGCAUCAUCUUGUAUUGCCUCUGUGCUCAAAGGUUUCAUACAAGUAAAGUUGUCUUGCCUGCUCACUUGUA